GGGCAGGAAAGCGCAGCAGAGCAUUUGACUCCUAGGCAAAAGGUUCUGGGUUCAAUCCCCCGACGUCCGCAGCCCA